rnacentral:rRNA from 1 species
CCUACGGGAUGCAGCAGUGGGGAAUAUUGCGCAAUGGGCGAAAGCCUGACGCCGCGACGCCGCGUGAGGGAUGCAGGUCUUCGGAUCGUACACCUCUGUCAGCAGGGAAGAACGGUCCCUGUGCUAAUCAUCCGUGCAUUGACUGUACCUGCAAAGGCAGCACCGGCUAACUCCGUGCCAGCAGCCCCGGUAAUACGGCGGGUUCGGGCGUUACUCGGAAUUUCUGGGCGUAAAGCGCUCGUAGGCGGUAUUUCAAGUCAAGGGUGAAAUCCCCGCGACAAACGUGGGAACUGCCUUUGAAACUGGCAAACGGGAGUGGGUGAAAGGAUAGUGGAAUUACAGGUGUAGGAGUG